rnacentral:rRNA from 1 species
AAUAUAAAAACAUAAGUAAUGUUAACACUUUUUUAGUCAAACAAAACAUUUAGAUAUUUAGUAAAAGUGUUUAAAUUUUAAUAAUUUAUUAAAUGGAAAAGUACUGUGAAGGAAUUUUAAUAAUUAUUUUAUAGUAGAGAUUAAUUCUUGUACCUUUUGCAUCAUGGCUUAGCUAGAAUUUGACUUUAAAAUAAGUCUCUAGAAAACUAAUGGGCUACCUUAUUUUUUUCUUUUAGGAAAUAUAAAGUAAAUGUAGCAAAAUUUUUUUAAAAAUUUAAGGUAGAAAUGACAUUUUAUUCGCAUUAGUUGAUAGCUAGUUUCUUUUGAAAUGCAUAGAAGUGCUUUUAACUUAGUAAUUAAUAUAAUAAUCUGAAAUUAUAUUAUUAAAAUAAGUUAAAUUAAUUUUUUGAGGAUUAGCUCGGAAAAUAACAUAGAAUGCUAAACAUAGAUCUUAUUUGAAAUUUAAGCUUGAAAAUAGUUUUCAUUAUAGAAUUUGUUAUAAUUCAUUAAUUUUUUUUAAAGAUAUAAUUAAUUUGUUUUAUUUAAAAAAAGAAAAUUUUAUAAAUUUAUUAAAAAUAUUUCAAUGCUAAGAUGAGUAUAAUUUGCUAUAUCUUUAUUGACUCUUGUAAAGCUCAGUAAAUAUAUAAUUAAAUGUUAUUAGUGUUAAAUCUUUAAAAGGAACUCGGCAAAUAAUGUUGCUCUGCCUGUUUAUCAAAAACAUGGCUCUAUGUAAAAUAAAAAUAUAGAGUCGGACCUGCCCAGUGAAAGUUUUUAACGGCCGCGGUACUCUGACCGUGCAAAGGUAGCAUAAUCAUUUGCCCUAUAAUUGAGGGCUAGUAUGAAUGGUUUGACAUGAGCAACGCUGUCUCUUUUAGAUUUAUUAAAACUUAAUUUUUAGGUGAAGAAGCCUAAAUUAUAUUGAUAGACAAGAAGACCCUAUCGAGCUUUAAAAACAUAUAUAAAGUAUACGCAGCUUAAAGCAUGUAAAAUUAUAUAAUAUUUUGGUUGGGGCGACUGAGGAACAAAAAAAGCUUCUUUAAUAAUUUAAAGUAAACAAACGUGGAUCCGAAUUUUUCGAUUAAAGGAAUUAGUUACCGUAGGGAUAACAGCAUAAUCUUUUUUGAGAGCUCAUAUCGAAAAAAAGGUUUGUGACCUCGAUGUUGGACUAGAGUUUCCUAAAGAUGCAGAAGUCUUUAAGGGUUGGUCUGUUCGACCAUUAAAACUCUACAUGAUCUGAGUUCAGACCGGCGUGAGCCAGGUCAGUUUCUAUCUUCAAUUAAUUAUUUUAAGUUUAGUACGAAAGGACCAACUUAAAACAAAUCUUGUUUAGAGAGAUAAUAUAUAAUUAAAAUCAUAAAUGAUUUGUCAAAUUAGCAAAG